GACGAACGCUGGCGGCGUGCUUAACACAUGCAAGUCGAACGGAAAGGCCCUGCUUGCUUGGUACUCGAGUGGCGAACGGGUGAGUAACACGUGGGUGCUCUGCCCCGCACUUCGGGAUAAGCCUGGGAAACUGGGUCCACUACCGGAGAGGAGCCAUGUUCAGUGUGAUGGUUGGAUAGUUUUUUCGGUGUAGGAUGAGCUCGCGGCCUAUCAGCUUGUUGGUGGGGUAAUGGCCUACCAAGGCGGCGACGGGUAGCCGGCCUGAGAGGGUGGACGGCCACAUUGGGACUGAGCUACGGCGCCGACCCCCACGGGAGGAGGCAGUGGGGAACUUUGCCCCAGCGGGGCAAGCCUGAUGCACCGGCCCAGCGGGGGGGAUCACGGCCUUAGGGUUGUAGCUGCGUGUCCGGAGGGACGAAGCUGUUUCUGCCGGUAGCUAGACAAGAAGCACCGGCUAACUACGUG
rnacentral:rRNA from 1 species